GCUGAUGUCAACAUCUUGUGCAUGACUUUGCUCUUGUACCCAGUUUUUCCUCAUUCCAAACUGACGCAAGACAGAAAUGCGAAUAUCCUUCCUCUCUUAAAGGAGGGAGUACUGCAUUUACUAUUUAUUUAUCCUGAAAGAAACAACAAAUCGUCAAACAAACAAUAACAUAUUUUUUACAGUAAUGGAUGUAUUAGUCUUUCUAUUGACAUGUACUAUAUAUAUAUAUAUAUAUAAUAUCUUUUUUCUUUUUCUUAUGGUUAAAUUAUUGACAAUUGGUUAAAAAUGUCGUGCAAAAAAGAAUGAUUAUAGGGGAUUAGGCGGUGGUGACUCUGUAGGACUAAAAUGAAUUCAUAAACAAUAAAAUGAAUUCAUAAACAAUUAUUGGCAAACAGAUAGUAAUUAAAGGGUAUAAGAUUAAAUUAAAACAAAGUGACAUGGUGGUGGUUGUAGGAAUAAAAGAAAUUGUUCAUUUUCAAGUAGGAUCCAGUAGAUUAAAUUCAAUCUAAACAGGACAGCCAAUCUAAUCUAUAUGAAAUUCACCACUUCAAUCUGAGCACGGAUCUAAGCUAUUUUUAGCUAUGUACAAUUUAUAUUUAAAAUUCUACAUUUACAUACUGUAUUAAUCAGAAGAGGUACAUGUAAAUACUGCACACCUUUUAUUGGAAGUAUCAUGAAAGGAAGGAUGACAGAACACAUCAAAGAUACGAGUAAGCAAUUUUGUUUACCAUAACGGUACCUUUGUAUUUUUUUUUUAUUUUUUAUUUUUUAAUCAAGGUGUCCGCCUUCGACGACUAUUUCUUGGGUCUGUGAUCCGGUCCCUCUUCACACAGACCAAUUAAACCGCGGGAUGUGUCUUCUAUUGAUCAGGGUCUGAGCGCCUCUCCAAAUAUCACAAUCUCAACCAAGUAAAUGCAAUUUACAUGAUGGAAAAACAUGCAAAAACACUACCAUAUAUUAAUUACAAUAAAAGUAUCACGAUCUUUUAUGACUCUACCAUGUUCUGUUUGAUGUAAAAUUGCAAAAUAGUACCGAUUUGCUAAGACUUCAAUGAUAUCACAAAAUAUUUAUUUUAUUACACUAAUAUUGCAAUUAACAAAACAUUUAAAUAUUUUCAGCAAGCAGAUACUUAAAUAUCUAAUUUUUGACAGUAAUUUCUAUUAAAUUGUCAUCUUUGCUUCCAAUUAUUAGCUCAACAUUAAUUAGAAUCCAAAGAAUCACACGUUGCUGAGAUUUUUUUUUUAAAUCAAGAAGAAAAAUCUCUCAAACAAUAAAUAGAGCAUACGUAGAAGACAAUUGUGGUAUUUCAUUUUUGGGGAAAAAAUAAUAGUUUGCUUGCUACCACAAUUUCAUCAUAGGAACAAGUCUAGGUUUCGUGAGAAUGAAUAAUCUUGUGCAGCCUCAAACAGGAUUAAAUCCUAUUUACAACAAAAACUAGACGUAAAUCAAAUUCAAAAUCACCUAUGGUGUUAUUUAUUCCAUGUUUGCUUAUAUAAGCCCAUAUGUACCCGCUCAACAUCUCACACUUAGAACACUUCAUUACAUAUUUUUUCCCAAUUUGCUUAUAAAGUUACAUCACGAAAAAUAAACAAAGAAAUAUUAUUUUUUCAAAUUUGCAAUUGCAAGAAGAAAGUUGAAUUGUUGAGUAUUUUUCAUGUAAUUCAAAGCCACAAUGAAAAAUAUGAAGAGAAAAUUGAGUUCCAAAACUUAAUCACAACAUACAAGAAACAUGAAUAAAAUUAAAGGUCUAAACAAGCCCACCAUAUUGGUAUAAUUCUUGUUGGCACAAAUAUCUCUAAAUUUUUUUUUGCAUAAAAUCAUAUUAAAAAUGAAAAAUUGAGGAAAUAUUCAUACCUGAAAAUAGCCCAAUAUGAAAUUGGUUCUUAUAAGUGGUUGUUCACGUAUUGGUGCUUUUUCAUGAGUUUCAGUUCCAUCAAUGUUCGAAAAAUGGAUGAAACAUUCAUACCAAAUUCCUCAUUUCACUCAAGAAGACGAAGGAGACCAAUUUUGAAUGGUAAAAAGAUCUGGAGAUGGUCUUCAUGCUGGGCGGAGUGCUGCGUGGAGACCCAUCGUCUCCGCCCUGCCUGCCGCGAAGACCAUGUUGGGCAGAGUGUCUUCAUAUGUCUCUAAGUAGUGCGGAGCCCCAUGGUUUUCGCACUGCGCGGAAUUAACCUAAGAAUUUGCAUUUCUCAUUUCUUCUUGAGACAUGCUUUUCUUCUCAAAUUCUCAGUUUUUGGAAAAAUUUUAGGAUUGUUAGUUUUUAAUGAAAUUUUAGUCAAAUUUAAUUGAAAAACACGCCAAUGAACAAAACUCAACAGCUUUGCUGCUGACCCCACCAAUUUGGGCAAAUUCC
rnacentral:lncRNA from 1 species